rnacentral:rRNA from 1 species
GAUGAACGCUGGCGGUAUGCUUAACACAUGCAAGUCGAACGGACUCUUCGGAGUUAGUGGUGGACGGGUGAGUAACGCGUGAGAAUCUGGCUUUGGGUUCGGGACAACCACUGGAAACGGUGGCUAAUACCGGAUGUGCCGAGAGGUAAAAGAGAAAUUGCCUGAAGAUGAGCUCGCGUCUGAUUAGCUAGUUGGUGAGGUAAAGGCUCACCAAGGCAGCGAUCAGUAGCUGGUCUGAGAGGAUGACCAGCCACACUGGGACUGAGACACGGCCCAGACUCCUACGGGAGGCAGCAGUGGGGAAUUUUCCGCAAUGGGCGAAAGCCUGACGGAGCAAUACCGCGUGAGGGAAGAAGGCUCUUGGGGUGUAAACCUCUUUUCUUAGGGAAGAACAAAAUGACGGUACCUAAGGAAUCAGCAUCGGCUAACUCCGUG